rnacentral:rRNA from 1 species
UGAAUACGAGACGCUACGGCGUCGAAGCAGUCUAUGUCAUACUUCCAAGAAAAGCUUGCACUGUCAUAAACAAAUAAUGCCUGUACCAUAACCGACACAGGUGGGUAGGUAGAGUAUACUAAGGGGCGCGAGAUAACUCUCUCUAAGGAACUCGGCAAAAUGACUCCGUAACUUCGGGAGAAGGAGUGCCUUAUUUAUAAGGUUGCAAUAACAAGAUCCAAGCAACUGUUUAUCAAAAACACAGGUCUCCGCUAAGUCGUAAGACGAUGUAUGGGGGCUGACGCCUGCCCAGUGCCAGAAGGUUAAAGAAGUUGGUUAGCAUUAGCGAAGCUGAUAACUGAAGCCCUGGUGAACGGCGGCCGUAACAAUAACGGUCCUAAGGUAGCGAAAUUCCUUGUCGGGUAAGUUCCGACCCGCACGAAAGGCGUAAUGAUUUGGUUACUGUCUCGGAGAGGGGCUCGGUGAAAUAGACUUGUCUGUGAAGAUGCGGACUACCUGCACCAGGACAGAAAGACCCUAUGAAGCUUUACUGUAACCUGAAAUUGAAAUUGGACUUUAUUUGCGCAGUAUAGGUGGGAGGCAUUGAGAAUAUUCUUGCGGGAAUGUUGGAGCCAUCAGUGAGAUACCACUCUUGUAAUGUUAGAUUUCUAACUUUGUAUCAUUAUCUGGUCAAAGGACAGUUUCAGGCGGGCAGUUUGACUGGGGCGGUCGCCUCCUAAAUGGUAACGGAGGCGCACAAAGGUUUCCUCUGAACGGGUAGAAAUCGUAUCUAGAGUGUAAAGGCAUAAGGAAGCUUGACUGUGAGACCUACAAGUCGAGCAGGGACGAAAGUCGGUCUUAGUGAUCUGACGGUGCUGAGUGGAAAGGCCGUCACUCAACGGAUAAAAGUUACUCUAAGGAUAACAGGCUGAUCUCCCCCAAGAGUUCACAUCGACGGGGAGGUUUGGCACCUCGAUGUCGGCUCAUCGCAUCCUGGGGCGGUAGUACGUCCCAAGGGUUGGGCUGUUCGCCCAUGAAAGCGGUACGCGAGCUGGGUUCAGAACGUCGUGAGACAGUUCGGUCCAUAUCCGGUGUAGGCGUUAGAAUAUUGAGAGGAGCCUUCUUUAGUACGAGAGGACCGAGAAGGACAUACCUCUGGUGUACCAGUUAUCGUGCCAACGGUAAACGCUGGGUAGCUAUGUAUGGAGAGGAUAACCGCUGAAAGCAUCUAAGUGGGAAGCCCACCUCAAGAUAAGUAUUCUCAUC